rnacentral:lncRNA from 1 species
UUACAGGCAACAUUUUUAGAGUGUCCUUGUAAAAUUUUAGAAUUUUCCAAUUAUUUUAGAAAUGUAACUAUAGCUUAAUGGCAAUAUUAAAAUUAUCAAUUAUAACUAAAACAAGAUCGAAUUUAGCAAUACAACCACAAAAGAUGUAAUAUAAUAAAAUAGUUCAAAUAUUAAUUCAAGACAUAAUAGUAAUCAAAAUGUGAAACAUUACUUGAUAAGUUUAAUGCUUCGAAGUAUAAGCCUAGUAAUAUAACAAAACUAUAUUUCAGACAAGUUUAGUGGAAUUAACUACAAUCCAAAAUAAAACACCAUCCAACUCGAUCAUUCAAGUUUAUCUUGUAAUUCAUCAGCCAAAUCGUCCACUUCAAAUUCAUCACCGAUGUCAUUCUCUUGAAUUUCAUCAUCCAGGUCAUCCUCUUGAAAUUCAUCAUCUAGGUCAUCCUCUUGAAAUUCAUUAUCUAUAUCAUCCUCCUGAAAUUCAUCACUUAAGUUGUCCUCAAGAAAUUCGUCCUCAAGAAAUUCAUCAUCUACGUCUUCCUCUUGAAAUUCCUCAUCUAUGUCAUCAUGUACAACAUCUUCAUUGAUAACUUGCUGCAUAAGAACAAAAUACAUCAACUAUAGAUAUUGUUGGUUCAAAGGUCAAUCAAAGACAUCAACAAGUGUUGUACCUCGCACAAAUAAAAACCAAAACAACAACUAAAACACAGUCAACAUAGCCGCAAAUAGGAAACUUGUUUUACACAUUUCCCUUCCUUAUUCUAUCAUUACAAGCUCAUUUUUCAGUUUCUGCAACUUAUGCCUUGUUAUGCAACAAAGAAACAAACACAAAAUGCAGAAAAAUAAAUCACAAGUUUGCACAAACACCACAAAUUGCAUAAACAAAAUUUAUGCAUAAAAUUCUGCAACACAAUCAAAAUCCGACUUUGGACACGCAUUUUAAACAAUUAAGCCAAACAACAUAAUCAUAAGUUCGCACAGCUCUAAAUUAAACCCAGCAUACGCAAGUUAACAAUUUCAGACACUUGCCUACAUUCCAAGUGAUGUCAUCACUAACAACUUUUUGCAUAUAUAAUAAUAACAAGCAAAACAAAAUAUAUGCAUAAAAUUCAACAACAUAAAGAGAAUCUGACCCUGCACACACAUCUUAAACAAUUAAGCAAAAUAACAUAAUCAUAAAUUCGCACAGCUCUAAUUCAGACCCUACACACGCAACUUAACAGUUUAUCCCAAUUCUUAUUGAACUUAAUUGAUGUCAAGUAUAGCAUCAUN